CCCUCUUCUAUUUCGCGCUAAAGGUAAUAAAAAAAUCCCAUUUUUUUCCCAAUUCUAUUACUCAGCCCUCUCGCACCUCAGUCUCUCUCUCCCUUCUGAAACCCCAAAUGUCGAAACCCCCAAAUCCCACAAGAUCUUCUCCAUUUUCCCUCCCUCAGCUCACUGUUGGUUAAUUUUUUUCAUUUUUUUGUUAGAUACGUCUUCUUCUUUAAUUUUUCCCCACUGUUUUUUUUCCUUUUUCUUCUUCCUGAUCUCCGACUUGUAGAUGGCCCUCCGACUACCUGUCUCUUCGCCUCCCUCCCUUCUGCUCCAGCUCAUCUACAGGUGCAGCUCCCUCUUUAUUUUCAGGAAACUCGGUUUCCAAGUUCAAAUUCAAAAAGAAGCUUGAUUUGUUGACAGUAUGGAACAUUUGGUUUUGGAGCAAGAAAAGCAAUAUCCAUCUGGAGUAAGAUGACAACUUUCAAGUGCACAUGUUUAUAUUGAGAUGCAUUUCUUUGGCGCAAAACUAGAUAUUGGUAGUUGAAGUUUUUAGAAUCAAAAAUAUAUUUCAUUAACUUUGUAUACAUUUCUUGUUUAAUAUUUGGUGAUGAUAGAAUUUGAUUGUAGUAUAAACUUUCAUGUAAUAUGAUUUUGUAAGCUGUGUAGACUAAAUAUUGAAAUUAUAUUUUUGAGUAAUUAAUAAAAAAUUAUUUUGUUGUA